rnacentral:tRNA from 1 species
GCUGGGUGCGACGCUGGUAGUGGGCGCCCUGCGGUGGGCGUCGGUGGUGGCCUAUGACCGCCACCGCGCCGAUCCCUCUGCGGCCCAGCGC